rnacentral:rRNA from 1 species
GUCCACGCCCUAAACUAUGUCAACUAGACGUUGGCCCCUUUAAUGGGGUUAGUGUCGAAGCUAACGCGUUAAGUUGACCGCCUGGGGAGUACGGCCGCAAGGUUGAAACUCAAAGGAAUUGACGGGGGCCCGCACAAGCGGUGGAGCAUGUGGUUUAAUUCGAUGCAACGCGAAGAACCUUACCAGCCCUUGACAUCCUCGGAACUUUGUAGAGAUACAUUGGUGCCUUCGGGAAUCGAGAGACAGGUGCUGCAUGGCUGUCGU